rnacentral:rRNA from 1 species
GAUGAACGCUGGCGGCGUGCCUAAUACAUGCAAGUCGAGCGAACAGAUGAGGAGCUUGCUCCUCUGACGUUAGCGGCGGACGGGUGAGUAACACGUGGAUAACUAACUUAUAAGAUUGGGAUAACUCCGGGAAACCGGAGCUAAUACCGGAUAAUAUAUUAAACCGCAUGGUUCAAUAGUGAAAGACGGUUUUGCUGCAACUUAUAGAUGAUUCCGCGCCGCAUUAGCUAGUUGGUAAGGUAACGGCUUACCAAGGCGACGAUGCGUAGCCGACCUGAGAGGGUGAUCGGCCACACUGGAACUGAGACACGGUCCAGACUCCUACGGGAGGCAGCAGUAGGGAAUCUUCCGCAAUGGGCGAAAGCCUGACGGAGCAACGCCGCGUGAGUGAUGAAGGUCUUCGGAUCGUAAAACUCUGUUAUUAGGGAAGAACAAAUGUGUAAGUAACUAUGCACGUCUUGACGGUACCUAAUCAGAAAGCCACGGCUAACUACGUG